rnacentral:rRNA from 1 species
UGCCUUAUUCAUGCAGUUCGAGCGGACAGAAGGGAGCUUGCUUCCCGGAUGUUAGCGGCGGACGGGUGAGUAACACGUGGGUAACCUGCCUGUAAGACUGGGAUAACUCCGGGAAACCGGAGCUAAUACCGGAUAGUUCCUUGAACCGCAUGGUUCAAGGAUGAAAGACGGUUUCGGCUGUCACUUACAGAUGGACCCGCGGCGCAUUAGCUAGUUGGUGAGGUAACGGCUCACCAAGGCGACGAUGCGUAGCCGACCUGAGAGGGUGAUCGGCCACACUGGGACUGAGACACGGCCCAGACUCCUACGGGAGGCAGCAGUAGGGAAUCUUCCGCAAUGGACGAAAGUCUGACGGAGCAACGCCGCGUGAGUGAUGAAGGUUUUCGGAUCGUAAAGCUCUGUUGUUAGGGAAGAACAAGUGCAAGAGUAACUGCUUGCACCUUGACGGUACCUAACCAGAAAGCCACGGCUAACUACGUGCCAGCAGCCGCGGUAAUACGUAGGUGGCAAGCGUUGUCCG